ACCGCGCUUCGUUAGGUGAGGCUCCUACUCGAACACAGGCCACUGAUCCGACGACGUCGAGAGACGCCCAGGGUUAGGACAGGUCUUCCCGGCCUAAGGGAUGACCCGAAGUGGCUUCCCAUCUUGGUGGGACACGUCGUGUAGUGCCAAAGCUCUGGUGAGGGAGUGCCCG
rnacentral:sRNA from 2 species